GGAGAGGUACCCAAGAGGCUGAAGGGGCGGGUUUGCUAAACCUGUAGGUCGGCGUUUUUAGCCGGCGCGGGAGUUCGAAUCUCCCCCUCUCCG
rnacentral:tRNA from 1 species